rnacentral:rRNA from 1 species
GAUGAACGCUGGCGGCGUGCCUAAUACAUGCAAGUCGAGCGAACGGACGAGAAGCUUGCUUCUCUGAUGUUAGCGGCGGACGGGUGAGUAACACGUGGAUAACCUACCUAUAAGACUGGGAUAACUUCGGGAAACCGGAGCUAAUACCGGAUAAUAUUUUGAACCGCAUGGUUCAAAAGUGAAAGACGGUCUUGCUGUCACUUAUAGAUGGAUCCGCGCUGCAUUAGCUAGUUGGUAAGGUAACGGCUUACCAAGGCAACGAUGCAUAGCCGACCUGAGAGGGUGAUCGGCCACACUGGAACUGAGACACGGUCCAGACCCCUACGGGGGGCAGCAGUAGGGAAUCUUCCGCAAUGGGCGAAAGCCUGACGGAGCAACGCCGCGUGAGUGAUGAAGGUCUUCGGAUCGUAAAACUCUGUUAUUAGGGAAGAACAUAUGUGUAAGUAACUGUGCACAUCUUGACGGUACCUAAUCAGAAAGCCACGGCUAACUACGUGCCAGCAGCCGCGGUAAUACGUAGGUGGCAAGCGUUAUCCGGAAUUAUUGGGCGUAAAGCGCGCGUAGGCGGUUUUUUAGUCUGAUGUGAAAGCCCACGGCUCAACCGUGGAGGGUCAUUGGAAACUGGAAAACUUGAGUGCAGAAGAGGAAAGUGGAAUUCCAUGUGUAGCGGUGAAAUGCGCAGAGAUAUGGAGGAACACCAGUGGCGAAGGCGACUUUCUGGUCUGUAACUGACGCUGAUGUGCGAAAGCGUGGGGAUCAAACAGGAUUAGAUACCCUGGUAGUCCACGCCGUAAACGAUGAGUGCUAAGUGUUAGGGGGUUUCCGCCCCUUAGUGCUGCAGCUAACGCAUUAAGCACUCCGCCUGGGGAGUACGACCGCAAGGUUGAAACUCAAAGGAAUUGACGGGGACCCGCACAAGCGGUGGAGCAUGUGGUUUAAUUCGAAGCAACGCGAAGAACCUUACCAAAUCUUGACAUCCUUUGACAACUCUAGAGAUAGAGCUUUCCCCUUCGGGGGACAAAGUGACAGGUGGUGCAUGGUUGUCGUCAGCUCGUGUCGUGAGAUGUUGGGUUAAGUCCCGCAACGAGCGCAACCCUUAAGCUUAGUUGCCAUCAUUAAGUUGGGCACUCUAAGUUGACUGCCGGUGACAAACCGGAGGAAGGUGGGGAUGACGUCAAAUCAUCAUGCCCCUUAUGAUUUGGGCUACACACGUGCUACAAUGGACAAUACAAAGGGCAGCGAAACCGCGAGGUCAAGCAAAUCCCAUAAAGUUGUUCUCAGUUCGGAUUGUAGUCUGCAACUCGACUACAUGAAGCUGGAAUCGCUAGUAAUCGUAGAUCAGCAUGCUACGGUGAAUACGUUCCCGGGUCU